AUUUGAACAUCUUGGCCAUGUUCUGUUAUAAUCUCUACCCGGCACAGCCAGAAGAGGACUGGCCACCCCACAUAGCCUGGAGAUGUCAAAUAGCCCCUCCCAACUGCAUCAAACACCAGAUAUGCAGUUCCAAAAGGACCCAAUGACAUUUCAAGAUCCAGAGAAGAGGGUCCUGUACAGUCGUGUUUAAAAACAUUUCCCAGAACUCAGCAUGGUAAUAGGAAAAGGGCUUUCAACAGCUCCUGAUGAUGUAAGGACAAUUCAUGGCUUGAAUAUUCUGUAAAUCAAGAUUCGACUUAAUGUUGCGCCAGUGGGCACUUUUCUCUGCCCAAUACACAUCACAGUCAGGUUUUUGUAACUGGAAAAAGGCGUUGUUUAAAGAUUCUGGGUUUAAGCUCCAUUCGAAGGCAGAGCAUUAUGCUAUGUAUGCUUGGAAUCAGCAUAAAAUGGCUAUUGACAGAAACUCAUCAAUGAAUGUCAAUGUCAUGAAUGAGGACCAGAAAAAGAAAGUGGAGGUAAACUGUACUUACAUUAAAACAAUUGCAGAUGUGCUCCUAUUAACUGCCACUCAAAAUAUACCAUAGAGAGGUCAUCGAGAGUCUGAUGACUCUUUGAUGACUCACAACCAGGGUCAUUUUUUAACAAUCUUCCUCUCAUAGAGAAAAGGAUGAAUGCAUGGGGCCUUAUUUCUCAGAUUUACAUGUCAUAGGGCUUUUGGUUACCUUUUGUAAAGUGCUUGGUGAUGCCAAAUGUCUUUCUGACAUGCUCCAAUCAAGCUCUCUUAACCUAGCAAGGUCUGUGGAUCUAGUAGGUGCCCUUACAGACACAUUACAGGACUACAGCAGUGAGGGUUACUUUUGAGAACUAUGGAAAGAGGUUGAAGAGAUUGCAGAGCACUGAAAAAUAAGUGUACAAACAGUGUGUAAAAGACAGCCUAAAACAAGCUUAAGAUUUCACGACUCGUUGAGGAUGAGCACUGUAGACCAGAAAAAUAGUCACCAAAAUGAUGGUGAGAGCUUCCAAAGAGCUAUCCUUUAUCAGGUGCUUGACAGUCUCACAGCUGAGCUGCAGAGGUGUUUUUCAAAGAAUUGAGAGAUAAUGCAAGGGAUCCAGUCUCUUAAAACCCAAAGAGCACAACAUUCUUGAAUGAGGAGCCUCUGUAUGCCUUUGCUCAGAACUUUGAGUCUGAUUUAGAGGACCGCAAACAUGAGGUUCAUCAAACCAAGAGGCUUCUUGAUAGGAGAGAGAAAAGUGAAAGGGACAGACUGUCUACUCUCCCUGACUUUGUUGUGUUUCUAGAACCUUAUAAAGAGGUCUUCCAUGAGCUAUUUUGACUUUGUAAGAUUUCUGUUGUUACACCAAUCAGCAGUGCUUCUUGCGAGAGAAGCUUCUCAGCUUUAAAACAGAUUAAAACCCACCUUAGGACAACAAUGGUUGAUGACAGGUUAAGUCAAGGAGGGCAUGCUCCCUCGACAUGGAUGAGUUUGAAACAUUUAGCCAGUUCUCACCAGAUCUGCAGAAUUGUGCUGUUUUAAAUCUACCUAGGAUAAUUUGGCACUUAGGUUGUCCCUCUGGUCAUGAUUAAAACCUGCACUGUGUACUAACGUUUCUUUGCUAUUAGUUAACAUAAUAUAUAUGAGAAUAAAUAUAAUAGUCUUUGUAAUAUUGAUGGGUACCAAAAUAAAUAAAAAAUUCAAGUCCAUUUCUGCUUGAUACCUUGUAUGUCAAAUUGCAGUGUUUAUUUUUGGUAAAUUACAUUUUUUUGUAAAUAAACUAUGCAAUUUAUGUAACACA